CUGCAAACUGCAUAUGAUAUAAUGGCUCCACAAUACAAGACGCCGUGUCUGAUCUGCAGCCGAUCGUUGGUCCUGUGCGAUGCGGCCCGUGAACCCCGUCAGGUCCGGAAGGAAGCAGCGGUAAGCGGUCACCCGCAGGUGCCGCAGGGUAACCUGCGUCGGUUGCAGAUCAGGCAUGGCGAUUUUUCAG
rnacentral:SRP_RNA from 1 species